UACGAAGGGGGCUAGCGUUGCUCGGAAUCACUGGGCGUAAAGGGUGCGUAGGCGGGUCUUUAAGUCAGGGGUGAAAUCCUGGAGCUCAACUCCAGAACUGCCUUCGAUACUGGAGAGCUCGAGUCCGGGAGAGGUGAGUGGAACUGCGAGUGUAGAGGUGAAAUUCGUAGAUAUUCGCAAGAACACCAGUGGCGAAGGCGGCUCACUGGCCCGGUACUGACGCUGAUGUGCGAAAGCGUGGGGAGCAAACAGG
rnacentral:rRNA from 1 species